rnacentral:rRNA from 1 species
UACGGAGGGUGCAAGCGUUAUCCGGAUUCACUGGGUUUAAAGGGUGCGUAGGAGGGCAGGUAAGUCAGUGGUGAAAUCUCCGAGCUUAACUUGGAAACUGCCGUUGAUACUAUCUGUCUUGAAUAUUGUGGAGGUGAGCGGAAUAUGUCAUGUAGCGGUGAAAUGCUUAGAUAUGACACAGAACACCGAUUGCGAAGGCAGCUCACUAAGUCAUAACUGGCGCUGAUGCACGAAAGCGUGGGGAGCAAACAGG